UGCCAGACUCCUACGGGAGGCAGCAGUGAGGAAUAUUGGUCAAUGGGCGGGAGCCUGAACCAGCCAAGUCGCGUGAGGGAAGACGGUCCUAUGGAUUGUAAACCUCUUUAGGCGGGGAGCAAUGCCGGGCACGCGUGCCCGGAGGGAGAGUACCCGCAGAAUAAGCAUCGGCUAACUCCGUGCCAGCAGCCGCGGUCAUACGUAGGAUCCGAGCAUUAUCCGGAGUGACUGGGUGUAAAGAGUUGCGUAGGUGGCAUAAUAAGUAGCUAGUGAAAUCUGGUGGCUCAACCAUUCAGACUAUUAGCUAAACUGUUAAGCUCGAGACCGUUAGGGGUAACUGGAAUUUCUAGUGUAGGAGUGAAAUCCGUAGAUAUUAGAAGGAACACCAAUAGCGUAGGCAGGUUACUGGGACGGUUCUGACACUAAGGCACGAAAGCGUAGGGAGCAAACGGGAUUAGAUACCCUUGUA
rnacentral:rRNA from 1 species